rnacentral:tRNA from 1 species
UCCCUGAUGGUCUAGUGGUUAGGAUUCAGCACUUUCAUUGCCGCAGCCUGGGUUUGAUCCCUGGUCUGGAAA